CUUUUUUCUUCGCAUGAGGGAGAAUUGAAAGAUGGCUUCGGCUAUCACUUACAGAUGGACCCGCGGCGCAUUAGCUAGUUGGUGAGGUAACGGCUCACCAAGGCGACGAUGCGUAGCCGACUUGAGAGGGUGAUCGGCCACACUGGGACUGAGACACGGCCCAGACUCCUACGGGAGGCAGCAGUAGGGAAUCUUCCGCAAUGGACGAAAGUCUGACGGAGCAACGCCGCGUGAGUGAUGAAGGUUUUCGGAUCGUAAAACUCUGUUGUUAGGGAAGAACAAGUAUCGUUCGAAUAGGGCGGUACCUUGACGGUACCUAACCAGAAAGCCACGGCUAACUACGUGCCAGCAGCCGCGGUAAUACGUAGGUGGCAAGCGUUGUCCGGAAUUAUUGGGCGUAAAGCGCGCGCAGGCGGUUUCUUAAGUCUGAUGUGAAAAUCUUGCGGCUCAACCGGCCAAGCGGCCAUUGGAAACUGGGAGACUUGAGUGCAGAAGAGGAGAGUGGAAUUCCACGUGUAGCGGUGAAAUGCGUAGAGAUGUGGAGGAACACCAGUGGCGAAGGCGACUCUCUGGUCUGUAACUGACGCU
rnacentral:rRNA from 2 species